CUGUCUCAAAAAAAAAAAAAAAAAAAAAAAAAAGCUUAUGUGAUAUUACUUUUUUCUCAUUUAACAGAAAGGGAAAUUAGAGAACUCAAGGGGCGGCAUCCUGCCUAAAACCCCAUUGCUUAUACUAGGUGUAACCAGAAUGAUGAUUUAGGCAAUCUGACUUGUAUCUAGUCCGUUAGAAGACAUCUUCACCUACCUUGGUGGGCUGUGUUGCAAAAAGAGAAACGGCGUUUUUCUCAUGUUAAAAGAAUGGAAAAUGAAGCAUUUCUUUAAUGACUAAAAGAGGUUAGAAAUGAAAAAAAUUUUUGAUUCUAUGGUAUAACUUAGUAGAGAAAAAGGAGAAAGACAAAUGAGACAGAAAAUUUAAACCCUAUUAAGGGAAAAGUGGUAAAGGGAGAGAAAAAAUAAACAGACACAGUGGAAGGAGAGACAGACGUGAAGAGUAGGAUAAAAAGAAAAAGAAAUUCACCUAAAGAGGAUGAACUAAUAUGUUGGAGAGACACAAAAUGUAUAUACACAAAGAAAACCACAGAGAGUGGAGUUCAUGAUACAAUCUGCAACUGCAAGAAGAAACAGAAAGAAAAGUGCAGAUGAAGGCCCUUAACUACAUCCAAACUACACAUAUCAGAUAUUCAACUGACAAGAUUGGAUUGAGACCCUUAAGUGAUUUAAAUGAGGACUCUGGCUCUGAGGAGGUGGAUGGAGAAAAUUGGCCCCAAAGAUUUAACCCUAAGUUUUAAUGAAGUCUUGAGUUCCAAUGAAGACGUCCUGAUUGACUCAGGCUUAUAGUGCCCCCUCGUGCCUGAUGAAGACAAACACAAACCCCUUCAGGAGGAAAUCAUCUUGAACCCAAGUUCUCUACAUUUAUACACAUUAUCUAUUUAUUGAGCAAUCAUUUAUUGAACACCUAUUAUAUGCCAGACACUCUGUCAGGAACUUAGGAUGUUUAAAUAUAAGGUCGUAACAAAUGUCACAAAAUUGAAGAAAAACAGACACUUUGGAGAGUUUGGCUUAUAAGCAAAGAAGAGCCUUCUAUUUCCUCCUAGAUCCCUAAGCAAACAAAGGAUUUCAGAUAUUGAAAUGAUUAGAUACAGACUAUAAAAAUAACUAUUUACUAAAAGUUUAAUGAAAUAAAAAAUAGAAUAAUAAAACAAUCAAGGAGCACGGGAUAAUCAAAACCAAGUACAUUUGAAAAAGAACAAAAGAGAACUUUGCUAUACUCCAUAAUGAUAAAAUAAAAAUCCAAAA